rnacentral:rRNA from 1 species
UACGUAGGUGGCAAGCGUUGUCCGGAUUUACUGGGCGUAGAGGAUGCGUAGGCGGACAUUUAAGUCAGAUGUGAAAUACCCGAGCUUAACUUGGGUGCUGCAUUUGAAACUGGGUGUCUAGAGUGCAGGAGAGGUAAGUGGAAUUCCUAGUGUAGCGGUGAAAUGCGUAGAGAUUAGGAAGAACACCAGUGGCGAAGGCGACUUACUGGACUGUAACUGACGCUGAGGCAUGAAAGCGUGGGGAGCAAACAGG